UACGUAGGGUGCGAGCGUUAAUCGGAAUUACUGGGCGUAAAGUGUGCGCAGGUGGCUUCGCAAGUCGAGUGUGAAAUCCCCGGGCUUAACCUGGGAAUUGCGCUCGAAACUACGGAGCUGGAGUGUGGCAGAGGGAGGUGGAAUUCCACGUGUAGCGGUGAAAUGCGUAGAGAUGUGGAGGAACACUAAUGGCGAAGGCAGCCUCCUGGGCCAACACUGACACUCAUGCACGAAAGCGUGGGGAGCAAACAGG
rnacentral:rRNA from 1 species